rnacentral:rRNA from 1 species
UGCCAGCCGCCGCGGUAAUACGUAGGUCCCGAGCGUUGUCCGGAUUUACUGGGCGUAAAGAGUUCGUAGGUGGUUACUUAAGUCUGAUGUUAAAGACGGGAGCUCAACUCCCGCACGGCAUUGGAAACUGGGUAGCUAGAGUGCGGUAGAGGUCACGGGAAUUCUCGGUGUAGCGGUGAAAUGCGUAGAUAUCGGGAGGAACACCAGUGGCGAAAGCGCGUGACUGGGCCGCAACUGACGCUAAGGAACGAAAGCCAGGGGAGCGAACAGGAUUAGAUA